rnacentral:rRNA from 1 species
ACGGAAGGCAGCAGUGAGGAAUAUUGGUCAAUGGACGAGAGUCUGAACCAGCCAAGUCGCGUGAAGGAAGACGGUUCUAUGGAUUGUAAACUUCUUUUGUCCGAGGGUAAAGUGAGAGAUGCGUCUCUUAUUGCAAGUAUCGGACGAAUAAGCAUCGGCUAACUCCGUGCCAGCAGCCGCGGUAAUACGGAGGAUGCGAGCGUUAUCCGGAUUUAUUGGGUUUAAAGGGUGCGUAGGCGGAUGAUUAAGUCUGUGGUGAAAGCGUGCGGCUCAACCGUACCGAGCCAUGGAAACUGGUUGUCUUGAGUGUAAACGAGGUAGGCGGAAUGUGACAUGUAGCGGUGGAAUGCUUAGAUAUGUCACAGAACUCCGAUUGCGAAGGCAGCUUACCAGCAUACAACUGACGCUGAGGCACGAAAGCGUGGGUAUCAAACAGGAUUAGAUACCCUGGUA